AAAAAACUACGACAGCAUACAAUUAUUCAAAACAUAAAUAUCCAAAACAUAAAUAAUGGGAUCCUCGCUCUCGAGGAGCUCCUUGAUGAUUAUAAGGUGUGGCUCGUAUAUAACUUCCCCGUUCUUGACGAUUACAAGCUUGCUUCCCUGACCCACUCGCUGGACCUAAGGGAUCCGGGCCACGAAGGCAGUCAGGAUGGCGAAGCACUCCUGGUCCUCGACGCCAAACUCCCCCUCCCUCCAACGGAAGAGAAGAACCUCUUUCUUUUCACUGAUAUUUGUGAGGCCAAUAGUCCAAAAAAACCAAUAAUUUGGUAUUGGUUCAUAAAAUUCUGCGUACAGACCAAUUGUGAAGAAGGAGAAAUGUGGCGCCGGAGAAUUCCAACAACAUUACCGGCGAUGGACAAGAUCAGCCGUCUACCAGAAGCUAUUGUGUGCACCAAAGAGGUAGUUGCGACAAGCGUUUUGUCAGAGCGAUGGACACAUUUAUCAACUUCGCAGACAUCCAAAUCCAUAGCACCGAUUCUAAUUACACUUUCAAUGAGAUGCUUCUGCCGGUGGAUCUCAUCAAAUCAGCCGUUUCUGUCUCAAAAUUCUUAG